CGUAGGGUGCGAGCGUUAAUCGGAAUUACUGGGCGUAAAGCGUGCGCAGGCGGUUUUGUAAGACAGAUGUGAAAUCCCCGGGCUCAACCUGGGACCUGCAUUUGUGACUGCAAGGCUAGAGUACGGUAGAGGGGGAUGGAAUUCCGCGUGUAGCAGUGAAAUGCGUAGAUAUGCGGAGGAACACCGAUGGCGAAGGCAAUCCCCUGGACCUGUACUGACGCUCAUGCACGAAAGCGUGGGGAGCAAACAGGAUUAGAUACCCUGGUAGUCCACGCCCUAAACGAUGUCAACUGGUUGUUGGGUCAUUACUGACUCAGUAACGAAGCUAACGCGUGAAGUUGACCGCCUGGGGAGUACGGCCGCAAGGUUG
rnacentral:rRNA from 1 species